rnacentral:rRNA from 1 species
GUGAGGAAUAUUGGUCAAUGGGCGGGAGCCUGAACCAGCCAAGUCGCGUGAAGGAAGAAGGAUCUAUGGUUCGUAAACUUCUUUUGCAGGGGAAUAAAGUGCAGGACGUGUCCUGUUUUGUAUGUACUCUGCGAAUAAGGAUCGGCUAACUCCGUGCCAGCAGCCGCGGUAAUACGGAGGAUCCAAGCGUUAUCCGGAUUUAUUGGGUUUAAAGGGUGCGCAGGCGGGUUGAUAAGUCAGCGGUGAAAGUUUGCAGCUUAACUGUAAAAUUGCCGUUGAAACUGUCGAUCUUGAGUGCAAAUGAGGUAAGCGGAAUGUGUUGUGUAGCGGUGAAAUGCUUAGAUAUAACACAGAACACCGAUUGCGAAGGCAGCUUACUGGGAUGCAACUGACGCUCAUGCACGAAAGCGUGGGGAUCAAACAGGAUUAGAUACCCUAGUAGUCC